GCCGCGGUAGCUCAGUUGGGAGAGCGUUAGACUGAAGUUACGUAACCAUCUGGUCACGUGAUCUGCUACAUCUACAGGUCACCCGUUCAAUCCGGGUUCGUGGCA